CCUACGGGGGGCAGCAGUGGGGAAUAUUGCACAAUGGGGGAAACCCUGAUGCAGCGACGCCGCGUGAGUGAAGAAGUAUUUCGGUACGUAAAGCUCUAUCAGCAGGGGAGAAAAUGCAGGUACCUGACUAAGAAGCCCCGGCUAACUACGUGCCAGCAGCCGCGGUAAUACGUAGGGGGCAAGCGUUAUCCGGAUUUACUGGGUGUAAAGGGAGCGUAGACGGCAGCGCAAGUCUGGAGUGAAAUCCCAUGGCUUAACCAUGGAACUGCUUUGGAAACUGUGCAGCUAGAGUGCAGGAGAGGUAAGCGGAAUUUCUAGUGUAGCGGUGAAAUGCGUAGAUAUUAGGAGGAACACCAGUGGCGAAGGCGGCUUACUGGACUGUAACUGACGUUGAGGCUCGAAAGCGUGGGGAGCAAACAGGAUUAGAUACCCGAGUAGUC
rnacentral:rRNA from 1 species